rnacentral:sRNA from 1 species
GAAAAAACAUACAAAAAGCACCAAAAUUACAAAAUAAAAGGUAAGUAUUCCGAAAAACUCGCAAA